rnacentral:lncRNA from 1 species
UCAAAACCCCCAAUCACAACUAUACAUGAACGAUGGACACGAUCUACCACAAUAAAAUCGCCCACCGGUGUAGGCACAUAUACAGGAGCACUCAAGGAAUCAUUAAGCAUGACCAGAUACGGUGCAAAAUAAGAUGACACAUAGGAGUAUAUAGAUUUUGGAUCAAAUAGAGCUAAAACAUCUCUAUACAAACCAGAACAGU